rnacentral:rRNA from 1 species
GAUGAACGCUGGCGGCGUGCCUAAUACAUGCAAGUCGAGCGAAUGGAUUAAGAGCUUGCUCUUAUGAAGUUAGCGGCGGACGGGUGAGUAACACGUGGGUAACCUGCCCAUAAGACUGGGAUAACUCCGGGAAACCGGGGCUAAUACCGGAUAACAUUUUGAACCGCAUGGUUCGAAAUUGAAAGGCGGCUUCGGCUGUCACUUAUGGAUGGACCCGCGUCGCAUUAGCUAGUUGGUGAGGUAACGGCUCACCAAGGCAACGAUGCGUAGCCGGCCUGAGAGGGAGAUAGGCCACACUGGGACUGGGACACGGCCCAGACUCCUACGGGAGGGAGCAGUAGGGAAUCUUCCGCAAUGGACGAAAGUCUGACGGAGCAACGCCGCGUGAGUGAUGAAGGCUUUCGGGUCGUAAAACUCUGUUGUUAGGGAAGAACAAGUGCUAGUUGAAUAAGCUGGCACCUUGACGGUACCUAACCAGAAAGCCACGGCUAACUACGUGCCAGCACCGCCGCAGUAA